rnacentral:rRNA from 1 species
UGGUCCCACCUGAUCCCAUGCCGAACUCAGAAGUGAAACGCCGUAGCGCCGAUGGUAGUGUGGGGUCUCCCCAUGUGAGAGUAGGACACUGCCAGGC